GGUCAGUGAUGAGGAGUAAAAGGUCUGAUCGCCCACAAUCCUCUGCUGCCUCUGGCUCCCAGCAGCUCGCUCUCUGCUCCCAUCAUGCUCCAGUGAUGCAGCAAUGGGUCCAGCAGCUGCUGACACACAGGAUGUGACAUCACACAGGAUGUGACAUCAUAGAGAAGCUGCUCUGAGACUCUACAGCCUCUCUGUGAUGAUGUUUGACAUCCAACACAACCAACCUACAUGGAGCCUAAAGAGGAGGAGGAGGAGGGAGCUGAUCUCAAGUUUUCAACCUGAGACC